rnacentral:sRNA from 2 species
GCAAUAGGCGUCUAGGGUUCCGUCCGCAGGCAUGCGGAGCCUGGUCCGAGAGUCGCCGACCUCUCCCAGAGGGGGGUUACACGGAGGGACAAAAGCCCGGGAGAU